AUUCCAGCUCCAAUAGCGUAUAUUAAAGUUGUUGCAGUUAAAAAGCUACGUAGUUGGAUUUGUGGUGGAUUGUGGCGUCCUGUUUUGGUUCUGUCACGAUCUGCCAUCCUUGGGUGGAACCUGUGUGGCAUUAGGUUGUCGUGCAGGGGAUGCUCAUCAUUUACUGUGAAAAAAUCAGCGCGUUCAAAGCAGGCUUAUGCCGUUGAAUGUAUUAGCAUGGAAUAAUAAGAUAGGACCUUGGUACUAUUUUGUUGGUUUGUGCACCGAGGUAAUGAUUAAUAGGGACAGUUGGGGGUAUUCGUAUUCCAUUGUCAGAGGUGAAAUUCUUGGAUUUCUGGAAGACGAACUACUGCGAAAGCAUUUACCAAGGAUGUUUUC
rnacentral:rRNA from 1 species